rnacentral:lncRNA from 1 species
GAAUUUCUAUGAGAGGCGAUGUUUAAUUAUCGCAGGACGUAAACAACAGAUAGUGAGUCUUCUACCUCUCGGUGCAUUCUUUCCUGGACCCUUCGCUUUUACUAAGCUAAGGCGAUUUGAAGAGGUUGAAUCUAAAUAGGAGAAGUAGUCGAACGAGGCGGCACAGAAAGAGGCUACGAAAUAGUCAGGAUUGCGGGCGAGAAUAGAGCAAUCAUACCUCAUGCCACGGGACAAGAAUGCUAGUGGAUAUAGCCGGAUCAAUAUGACCCCUCC